rnacentral:pre_miRNA from 1 species
CUAUUACUCCCUCCGUUCGGAAUUACUUGUCUUAGAAAUGGAUGUAUCUAGACAUUUUUUAGUUCUAGAUACAUCCAUUUCUGCGACAAGUAAUUCGGAACGGAGGGAGUAGUAU